rnacentral:rRNA from 1 species
CGGAGAAUGUUAUCACGGGAGACACACGGCGGGUGCUAACGUCCGUCGUGAAGAGGGAAACAACCCAGACCGCCAGCUAAGGUCCCAAAGUCAUGGUUAAGUGGGAAACGAUGUGGGAAGGCCCAGACAGCCAGGAUGUUGGCUUAGAAGCAGCCAUCAUUUAAAGAAAGCGUAAUAGCUCACUGGUCGAGUCGGCCUGCGCGGAAGAUGUAACGGGGCUAAACCAUGCACCGAAGCUGCGGCAGCGACGCUKAUGCGUUGUUGGGUAGGGGAGCGUUCUGUAAGCCUGCGAAGGUGRCCUGUGAGGGUUGCUGGAGGUAUCAGAAGUGCGAAUGCUGACAUAAGUAACGAUAAAGCGGGUGAAAAGCCCGCUCGCCGGAAGACCAAGGGUUCCUGUCCAACGUUAAUCGGGGCAGGGUGAGUCGACCCCUAAGGCGAGGCCGAAAGGCGUAGUCGAUGGGAAACGGGUUAAUAUUCCCGUACUUGGUGUUACUGCGAAGGGGGGACGG